rnacentral:lncRNA from 1 species
AGACGGAGUCUCACUCUGUCGCCCAGGCUGUGCAGUGGCACGAACUUGGCUCACUGCAACCUCCACCUCCGGGUUCAAGCAAUUCUCCUGCCUCAGCCUCCUGAGUAGCUGGGAAUAUAGGCACGCACCACCAUGCCCAGUGGUCGCUGACCUGGCAGGUUAUCAUCCACUUCCCAGGAUUCUCGGCUAUCAUUUCUGUUGUGCCAGGACACAGAUUCUCCAACACACAUAUCAGGCUCCGGGAAGUUUCCGAAGAGGUAUCCAUUGAGGGCUGGAAACAGAAACACGCUAGUGGAAGAGACUCCCCUGCAGAGGCGACUGGGACCAGAAAUGUUGAGAAAACACUCAAUAAAAGUGAAGAUCAGCAUACACUGAGAACAGCCUCGGAGCUGCUGUGGGAACGCAAUAUGAGGUCAGGAGAAAACAGAGUGCUGCUCAUAUUUACAGGAGGCUCAGUCACCUUCUGUCAUAAUCCUUCACUGGCAUAUCUGCUGUCUUCACCAGAUUCUGUGCUCCUUGGAACUAGAAACCCUGUCUUGUUCAUCUUAACAGUUAUCAGGACCUAGCAGAAAAACUGGCACAUAGUAUCUACUUAAUGAAGUGACAAAAGCAUGUAGUAAGAUGGAAAGAAAAGGAAUUGAUUAAAAGGAAUUUAUGAG